rnacentral:rRNA from 1 species
CCCUACGGGGGGCAGCAGUGAGGAAUAUUGGUCAAUGGGCGGAAGCCUGAACCAGCCAAGUCGCGUGAGGGAAUAAGGCCCUACGGGUCGUAAACCUCUUUUGCCGGGGAGCAGGGGCGGGGACGUGUCCCGGCCCGGAGAGUACCCGGAGAAAAAGCAUCGGCUAACUCCGUGCCAGCAGCCGCGGUAAUACGGAGGAUGCGAGCGUUGUCCGGAUUUACUGGGUGUAAAGGGCGUGUAGCCGGGCUGACAAGUCAGAUGUGAAAGCCGGGGGCUCAACCCCCGAACUGCAUUUGAAACUGUUG